AAAUACAGAUUCCAUUUAUUAUGAGCACAAUACUGUGUGUGCAGCUACUGACAAUAGUGUUUACACAGUUUUUAAUUUAUUAACUUGGUUUAGAUAUUUCCCCACUAACGGAAAAUCCAUGUGCAUGUCAGUGGCUU